UACAGAGGUGGCAAGCGUUGUCCGGAAUUAUUGGGCGUAAAGCGCGCGCAGGCGGUUCUUUAAGUCUGGUGUCUAAGUGCGGGGCUCAACCCCGUGAUGCACUGGAAACUGGGGAACUUGAGUGCAGAAGAGGAGAGCGGAAUUCCACGUGUAGCGGUGAAAUGCGUAGAGAUGUGGAGGAACACCAGUGGCGAAGGCGGCUCUCUGGACUGUAACUGACGCUGAGGCGCGAAAGCCAGGGGAGCAAACGGG
rnacentral:rRNA from 1 species